rfam:Schistosoma curassoni strain Dakar, Senegal genome assembly, scaffold: SCTD_scaffold0007143
AUCCAGCUGGCGCGUCCCAAAUAGGACGAAACGCGCGUCCUGGAU